rnacentral:lncRNA from 1 species
AUGGACAACACAAGGCCUCCUUUCUACUUUUCUUUCAUUUUUUUUCUUUUCUCUUUUCCUUUGUUUUCCUUUAGGAGCUCUUUGAAGUUAAGGGGAAAAAAUCAGAGUUUAUUCACAUUUAUGAAUGAGACUACUUGUCAUACUAAUCUUCACAAUAAUAUAAAUGUCUUGGUUUCCAAUGAACAGGAGGCUGCUCCUCCUGAGGAGGUCCACCCCCAGUACACACCCUUGCCUUCUGGAUCCAGAGAACUCACCAGUCACCGAGGUAGGAACUCGGCUUUCUGCUAUUCUCAGUGUUUGUAGCCUGGAUACUUGGCUAUGCAGAACUGGUAGGCUCUGUGGUCCUUACUGUGUCUGUCCUGUGACAAGGAGCCUAGUGCUUUUUAGGCUUUUGGUAGGAAAUCUAUACUGUCAAACCUAAAGAGUUUAACUUGUAUGAACAGGGGAGACAUAUAAAACCAUGGUAUAAUUUUGUGAUCCCCUUUUAAAAAGAAAGAUUAUGGUAUCUAACAAUUACUUAGAAUACCAUUCAAUACAGUAAUAGUAAUGGAGAGACAUUGGGAAACUCAGUAGUAUUUGUUAAAUAGCAAUGUGUGAAAAUAUAAGAGUUAAAAUGUGUAAUUUCAAAGAGAAUGGACUCUAUAUUACAGCCCAAAGGAAUUUCAGUUUGCCUGGCAAGUGUGUAGUUCUUUUAGUACUGAAACCCUGUUGCCAUCUCUGACAUCUUAAUGUUUCAAAUACAAGCAGAAUACUGACAUAGAAUAAUGUUUGCAAAAGUCUUGUCCCUUAACCAGUUUCUGGGGCCAAGGAAUAUGUCAGUUGGGAUUGCUGGGGGCAAAAAGAGGCUACAUGCUCUCACCUAUUUACGGUUCUAUCCUGAUCUUAAGACCAGAUCUCUGCUUCUUAACUCUGAAUCUGUCCUUCAAGGUUAAAGAAGGACAGGCUUGGAAGAGGGACGUUGGGUACUUUAAAUACUGUUUCCUCCAGUAUGAAGUCCCAUAGGGGUCACUGAAUGACUACUAGCUUGCUUGGCCAUCUUUGUGCUGUGGCAUGGAUGGAAAAAAAGGCGAUGGAGAAGCUUCAAAAGUGCCAGAAGCUUAUGGACUGUAUGAAUAGGAUAUUAAUAGUCUGCUAGAAGUGAUAAAGAGAGGCAUGUAGACCUUCAGGAACCUGUGACUUGGACCUGGCUUGAGUGGCCAACAUGUGGGCAUCAACAAAGCUCUUUUAAAAAUAAAUUUUGACCAAAUGAUAGGUUGAUUGUAAUUUCCUUCAUCAAGUAUCAGCUUUGUGCAAAUGGAUUUAGCUCAGUCAGGUGGAAUCGACUACUACUACUGGGACCAGAGGAAUGAACCAAUCUCUGUUAUAGAUUGUUGUGUUAGAAUGAUGGCUCUUCAAGCAACCAGAGCUUCCAGGGACUAAGCCCCUACCCAAAGACUAUACAUGGACUGACCCUGGACUCUGACCUCAUAGGUAGCAAUGCAUAUCCUAGUAAGAGCGCCAGUGGAAGGGGAAGCCCUGGGUCCUGCUAAGACUGAACCCCCAGUGAACUAG